GACAGCCUGGGGUAGAGAAUUCCGUGCCUUCUCUCAGAUCUCAAUGGCGGAAGUUGAACCCGGGGCCAAUUUACUCCCAAAUGGUGUUCCUUGGCUCUACGCCCUGUUUGCUAUGCUUUUUGUAUUUUUUCUCUUUGUCAUGUUCUCUCCCUUUUUACUUGAGAUUGAACAGUAUAUAAAGAAAUGCUGCCCUCUGGAGUCUCCAAGGAGAGACGUUCUGGGAAGGAAGGAAGACAGGAUGAGAAAAGAUCCCUCUCUACUUGUGAGGGUAGCAAGGGAUUCUGAGGCUGACAUCUGCACCCCUGGGCCAUCAGUUUGAGAGUGGCUGAGCCUGUAAGGAAUCACCUGUGACAUCGUAUUCCAGACAUGAGAGGGCUUCUGAGUCCCUCAUUAUGUAUGUUUAUACUGAAAAAAAAAAAAAAAAGAGAGAGAGAGAGAAAGAUAAUAAAUAUUUUGAGACUCUCAGAAAA